CUUCAUUUGCUAUUACAAAAAAAAAAAAUACUUUUUCUACGGUAAUAAACUAAUUAUGAUAUAUUUUUUACGAUCUCAUCAAAAAAUAUAAAAAUAUAUUUCUAAAAAAUAGAACUUUAUUUUAUCUAAUAAAAUCAGAUGAGUCUCAAUACCAAACUAAGCCCAACUAUAUUUAUUGAAAUGACGUUUCUAACUAACUAGAUAUUUUUCUUUGAGUUUAUUCGUCGCAUGAUAGUUAUUAGAAAUAUAUUUUUAUUAUAUAUAUUUUUUUUCACUAUCCUAUUCCAUAGUAGAUACUUUAGGUAAAAAUAAAAUUAAAAUUACAUU
rnacentral:lncRNA from 1 species